rnacentral:tRNA from 1 species
GCUCCAUGAGUUCGUGUGGUAGAAUAGCCGCCUGUCGAGCGGAAGGUUGUGGGUUCAACUCCCAUAUGGAGCG